rnacentral:rRNA from 1 species
GCGGAUGGAGCUAUUGAGAGUCGCAGAUACCAGGUGGCUGCAACUGUUUAUUAAAAACACAGCACUGUGCAAAAUCGCAAGAUGACGUAUACGGUGUGACGCCUGCCCGGUGCCGGAAGGUUAAUUGAUGGGGUUAGACUUCGGUCGAAGCUCUUGAUCGAAGCCCCGGUAAACGGCGGCCGUAACUAUAACGGUCCUAAGGUAGCGAAAUUCCUUGUCGGGUAAGUUCCGACCUGCACGAAUGGCGUAAUGAUGGCCACGCUGUCUCCACCCGAGACUCAGUGAAAUUGAAAUCGCUGUGAAGAUGCAGUGUACCCGCGGCUAGACGGAAAGACCCCGUGAACCUUUACUACAGCUUGGCACUGAACAUUGACCCUACAUGUGUAGGAUAGGUGGGAGGCUUUGAAGCGCAGUCGCUAGAUUGCGUGGAGCCGUCCUUGAAAUACCACCCUUGUAGUGUUGAUGUUCUAACGUCGACCCCUUAUCGGGGUUGCGGACAGUGCCUGGUGGGUAGUUUGACUGGGGCGGUCUCCUCCCAAAGCGUAACGGAGGAGCACGAAGGUGGGCUAAUCACGGUUGGACAUCGUGAGGUUAGUGCAAUGGCAUAAGCCCGCUUGACUGCGAGAAUGACAAUUCGAGCAGGUGCGAAAGCAGGUCAUAGUGAUCCGGUGGUUCUGAAUGGAAGGGCCAUCGCUCAACGGAUAAAAGGUACUCCGGGGAUAACAGGCUGAUACCGCCCAAGAGUUCAUAUCGACGGCGGUGUUUGGCACCUCGAUGUCGGCUCAUCACAUCCUGGGGCUGAAGUCGGUCCCAAGGGUAUGGCUGUUCGCCAUUUAAAGUGGUACGCGAGCUGGGUUUAGAACGUCGUGAGACAGUUCGGUCCCUAUCUGCCGUGGGCGUUGGAGAAUUGAAAGGGGCUGCUCCUAGUACGAGAGGACCGGAGUGGACGAACCUCUGGUGUUCGGGUUGUGUCGCCAGACGCAUUGCCCGGUAGCUAAGUUCGGGAUCGAUAACCGCUGAAAGCAUCUAAGCGGGAAGCGAGCCUUGAGAUGAGUUCUCCCUGAUACUUUAAGUAUCCUAAAGGGUUGUCGUAGACUACGACGUUGAUAGGCAGGGUGUGUAAGCGUUGUGAGGCGUUGAGCUAACCUGUACUAAUUGCCCGUGAGGCUUAACCAUACAACACCCAAGGGGUUU